rnacentral:tRNA from 1 species
GGUGGGAUGGCUCAGUGAGUAAAGUGCUUGUUGUACAAGCAUGAGGACUUGAGUUCAAUCCCCAGAUCCCACUA